AACUAGUUUUCAAGAAUGGAGUUAAACUAGAUUUGCAUUCAACUCUGGUUUAUUGUGUUAAUGAUGUUUUGCUGUAACAAAUAUGAAUUUUUUGUUUAAGUAUAAUAAUUUAAAAUGUUUUUUCUAGAGAAUGAAGUACUGCCACUAAGGUAAAGGUGCUAACUUGCAAGGAGCUGUUCUCAAAACAUUGGGUGACAAAGAAUUCACUUUUACAAAAAUCGAGCAGGAUAUUAAAGACAGCGAACUAUAGAACAAAUAUGGCGAAGCUGCAUGAAGUCUAUGUUGAAUUUUAUUAUUGAAAAAAAUAUGCUCUUCAGAUUUAAUGUUAGUUUUUAUUGUUUAACAGUAAUUGCAGUUUUCGAAUACCUGUAAAAUAAACCUAAUUCUUAAA